AGUGAACGCUGGCGGUAGGCCUAACACAUGCAAGUCGAACGGCAGCACAGUAAGAGCUUGCUCUUACGGGUGGCGAGUGGCGGACGGGUGAGGAAUACAUCGGAAUCUACUUUUUCGUGGGGGAUAACGUAGGGAAACUUACGCUAAUACCGCAUACGACAUACGGGUGAAAGCAGGGGAUCUUCGGAACUUGCGCGAUUGAAUGAGCCGAUGUCGGAUUAGCUAGUUGGCGGGGUAAAGGCCCACCAAGGCGACGAUCCGUAGCUGGUCUGAGAGGAUGAUCAGCCACACUGGAACUGAGACACGGUCCAGACUCCUACGGGAGGCAGCGGUGGGGAAUAUUGGACAAUGGGCGCAAGCCUGAUCCAGCCAUACCGCGUGGGUGAAGAAGGCCUUCGGGUUGUAAAGCCCUUUUGUUGGGAAAGAAAAGCAGCAGGUUAAUACCCCGCUGUUCUGACGGUACCCAAAGAAUAAGCACCGGCUAACUUCGUG
rnacentral:rRNA from 1 species